rnacentral:rRNA from 1 species
GACGAACGCUGGCGGCGUGCCUAAUACAUGCAAGUCGAACGAGAGCGACCGGUGCUUGCACUGGUCAAUCUAGUGGCGAACGGGUGAGUAACACGUGGGUAACCUGCUCAUCAGAGGGGGAUAACAUCCGGAAGCGGAUGCUAAAACCGCAUAGGUCUUCGAGCCGCAUGGCUUGGAGAGGAAAAGAGGCGCAAGCUUCUGCUGAUGGAUGGACCCGCGGUGCAUUAGCUAGUUGGUGAGGUAACGGCUCACCAAGGCCGUGAUGCAUAGCCGACCUGAGAGGGUGAUCGGCCACAUUGGGACUGAGACACGGCCCAAACUCCUACGGGAGGCAGCAGUAGGGAAUCUUCCGCAAAGGACGCAAGUCUGACGGAGCAACGCCGCGUGAGUGAAGAAGGUUUUCGGAUCGUAAAACUCUGUUGUUAGAGAAGAACAAGUGCUAGAGUAACUGUUAGCGCCUUGACGGUAUCUAACCAGAAAGCCACGGCUAACUACGUG